GACGAACGCUGGCGGCGUGCUUAACACAUGCAAGUCGAACGGAAAGGCCCUGCUUUUGUGGGGUGCUCGAGUGGCGAACGGGUGAGUAACACGUGAGUAACCUGCCCUUGACUUUGGGAUAACUUCAGGAAACUGGGGCUAAUACCGGAUAGGAGCUCCUGCUGCAUGGUGGGGGUUGGAAAGUUUCGGCGGUUGGGGAUGGACUCGCGGCUUAUCAGCUUGUUGGUGGGGUAGUGGCUUACCAAGGCUUUGACGGGUAGCCGGCCUGAGAGGGUGACCGGCCACAUUGGGACUGAGAUACGGCCCAGACUCCUACGGGAGGAAGCAGUGGGGAAUAUUGCACAAUGGGCGGAAGCCUGAUGCAGCAGCGCCGCGUGCGGGAUGACGGCCUUCGGGUUGUAAACCGCUUUCGCCUGUGACGAAGCGUGAGUGACGGUAAUGGGGAAAGAAGCACCGGCUAAUUACGU
rnacentral:rRNA from 1 species